AUUGAACGCUGGCGGCAUGCCUUACACAUGCAAGUCGAACGGUAACGCGGGGCAACCUGGCGACGAGUGGCGAACGGGUGAGUAAUGUAUCGGAACGUGCCCAGUAGUGGGGGAUAGCCCGGCGAAAGCCGGAUUAAUACCGCAUACGACCUAAGGGUGAAAGCGGGGGAUCGCAAGACCUCGCGCUAUUGGAGCGGCCGAUAUCAGAUUAGCUAGUUGGUGGGGUAAAAGCCUACCAAGGCGACGAUCUGUAGCUGGUCUGAGAGGACGACCAGCCACACUGGGACUGAGACACGGCCCAGACUCCUACGGGAGGCAGCAGUGGGGAAUUUUGGACAAUGGGCGAAAGCCUGAUCCAGCCAUGCCGCGUGCGGGAAGAAGGCCUUCGGGUUGUAAACCGCUUUUGUCAGGGAAGAAAAGGCUCGAACUAAUACUUUGGGCUCAUGUCGGUACCUGAAGAAUAAGCACCGGCUAACUACGUGCCAGCAGCCGCCGUAAAAC
rnacentral:rRNA from 1 species